rnacentral:rRNA from 1 species
CCUACGGGUGGCAGCAGUGAGGAAUAUUGGUCAAUGGGCGCGAGCCUGAACCAGCCAAGUAGCGUGAAGGAUGACUGCCCUACGGGUUGUAAACUUCUUUUAUAAAGGAAUAAAGUGAGGCACGUGUGCCUUUUUGUAUGUACUUUAUGAAUAAGGAUCGGCUAACUCCGUGCCAGCAGCCGCGGUAAUACGGAGGAUCCGAGCGUUACCCGGAUUUAUUGGGUUUAAAGGGUGCGUCGGUGGUUAAUUAAGUCAGCGGUGAAAGUUUGUGGCUCAACCAUAAAAUUGCCGUUGAAACUGGUUGACUUGAGUAUAUUUGAGGUAGGCGGAAUGCGUGGUGUAGCGGUGAAAUGCAUAGAUAUCACGCAGAACUCCGAUUGCGAAGGCAGCUUACUAAACUAUAACUGACACUGAAGAACGAAAGCGUGGGUAUCAAACAGGAUUAGAUACCCGGGUAGUC